rnacentral:rRNA from 1 species
ACGAACGCUGGCGGCAGGCUUAACACAUGCAAGUCGAGCGGACCCUUCGGGGUCAGCGGCGGACGGGUGAGUAACGCGUGGGAACGUGCCCUUUCCUCCGGAAUAGCCCUGGGAAACCGGGAGUAAUGCCGGAUACGCCCUUUGGCAGCGAUGCCAUUGGGGAAAGAUUUAUCGGGGGAGGAUCGGCCCGCGUUGGAUUAGGUAGUUGGUGGGGUAACGGCCUACCAAGCCGACGAUCCAUAGCUGGUUUGAGAGGAUGAUCAGCCACACUGGGACUGAGACACGGCCCAGACUCCUACGGGAGGCAGCAGUGGGGAAUCUUGGACAAUGGGGGCAACCCUGAUCCAGCCAUGCCGCGUGAUCGAUGAAGGCCUUAGGGUUGUAAAGAUCUUUCAGCUGGGAAGAUAAUGACGGUACCAGCAGAAGAAGCCCCGGCUAACUCCGU